GUUUGUAUAGAAUUUAAUAAUUUACAUUAUAAUAGAAAUUGUAUUGAAAACCAAUUGCCCAAUUUAGUCCAGUCAAAUCACUAUAAGUACAUGGUCCUGAUCAAAGUAAUCGCAAUAGAUUUUUUUUAAGUGUUAAAGUGUGAGAAAAGGUGUUCUGAUUAACAUAUUAAACUAGAAAUACAUGCAUGCGGUAACCCCUCGCCAAUAUUUUCCAAACAUUAAACUAACAUGAAGUAUUCAGAAAUGGCCCACUGAACGCAGGCUCGUGCUCAAGUGUUGCCAUGACAACAUGAUAUUCUUAAAUUUAAAACUGCAAAAAAGUUGAAAGAUUCGUACUUUUAACUAUACAACAAUAAAUUUCCUAAAUAUAUACUGUAGGAAU